rnacentral:rRNA from 1 species
GAUGAAUGCUGGCGGCGUGCCUAACACAUGCAAGUCGAGCGGCAGCGCGGUCUUCGGACUGGCGGCGAGCGGCGGACGGCUGAGUAACACGUGGGAACAUACCCCAAAGUGAGGGAUAACUGCCCGAAAGGGUGGCUAAUACCGCAUAUGGUCUUCGGAUUAAAGGAUUUAUCCGCUUUGGGAAUGGCCUGCGUAAGAUUAGAUAGUUGGUGAGGUAAUGGCUCACCAAGUCGACGAUCUUUAACUGGUCUUAGAGGAUGAUCAGUCAGACUGGAACUGAGACACGGUCCAGACUCCUACGGGAGGCAGCAGUGAGGAAUCUUCCACAAUGGGCGAAAGCCUGAUGGAGCAACGCCGCGUGCAGGAUGAAGGCCUUCGGGUCGUAAACUGCUUUUAUAAGUGAAGAAUAUGACGGUAACUUAUGAAUAAGCACCGGCUAACUACGUGCCAGCCGCCGCGGUAA